AGGGUCAUGUUUGAUAUUUUACAACUGGUUUCUCAAAACAACUAUUCAUUAGGUCUAAUGAGAAAACAACACUAGAAAAUCUUGGUUUUGUUUGUAUAUCUUUUUUUGUGUGUGUGAAUUAACUUCUUAAUUAACAGUUUAAUUUGAAAGUUCGUUUUAGACCAACAACAUUAACAGAAUUCCUGCCUGAGUUUGACCAGCACUAACUCUGCUGCUCAGGUUCAUCAGUGUUGAUCCUGAUCCGGUUCUGGUUCACAUCUACAACAAACUACUGUGUCUUUCUACUGAUCUCCAAUUACAGACAAGUUUAUUCUGAUAUCUUAAAACUGUUUUUGUUUUGUCAGGAUGGCAACUUUUUAAAAUGUUAUUUGGAGAACAUGAGCUGAAAAAGCACCAUUAGAUAUGACCCUUCUGGUCUUCCGUAGAAUCUGUGCUGUUGCCAGUCAGCAGAGGUUUGCAUGGUUUCCGGGUCAGAUCCCCCUCAUGCUGUGGUUAGUUCUUUCGAAGGAUUCAGAACCCCCCCUCACCUCAGUGCUGGAGUUUUAGUUUGAAAAUGACUCAGAAGUUUUUCUGACAGAGCGGCGUGAGUGACAUGUCUGCAGAGCACGUGCUCGUCAUAUGUUUUACCUUCAGCUGUCUUUGUCCUUGUUGAAGACCGUCACAGUGUUUCCAUCACACCAGCUGCUGCUGUGACUCAUUUUCUGCUCUGCUUUGCUGCCCUUCAGUUGCCGUGGUGACCGUCAACAGCAGCGGCACUUGACCUGAACUCUCAGCCGUGGUUCAGAGUCACAUGAUGUCAGAGGAGAACCCGCUGUUUCCUGCUGAUCUGGAGGCGCAGUUGAGUCUUUCACCUUCGAGCGUUAACGUGGAGCAGGAUGCGGACCUGGACUCCAGCUCCCACCACAACGCUGAGCCGACCCACAUUACCAACACCCCUGAUGUGCAGCAUCUGCAGCCCCAGCAGCUGCUGCCCCUCAGUCCCACCCGUCACCAUGGUGAGCUGCCAUCCUCUGCAUCAGGACCAUUGACUGUACAUGAGAACUGGUAUGUGUGACUCCUCCCCCAUCGCGUUCUAAGAAUUCAAAAUCCCAUAGAGUUCUAUAGAGAAAUAACCAGCUGUUACAGUUGUUAGAACUGUUCUGGCGCUGAUACAGUCUUAACAUCUUUUUGAUGAUCUUUUAUUGAUAUAUAUUUUCUGUAGUUCAAGUUAUUAAAGUUAUAAAUUGACCAAUCAGAUGCCUCAAUAAAAGUGGGUGGUCUCAUGUUGAAAGCAUGUUGCUAGAUUUUCCCCAGCUCGCUUUCAAGUUGUAGGGGCGUGGCCUUCAAACCAGCUCUCUCUUGAUUGGCGAGAGCUGUUGCCAUAGAAACAUCGACUCA
rnacentral:lncRNA from 1 species